rfam:Brachypodium distachyon strain Bd21 chromosome 1, whole genome shotgun sequence.
UAGCCUUGUCCCAAGUCAAACUUCUUAACGUUUGACCAAGUUUUAUAGAAAUAUCUACCAACAUUUACAAUAACAAAUAAGUAUGCCAUGAAGAUAUAUCAUGACAAAUUUAAUUAACUAAUUUAAAGUUGUAGAUGUUGGUAGAUUUUUCUAUAAACUUGGUCAAACUUUAAGAAGUUUGACUUAGGACAAAGCUAAA